rnacentral:rRNA from 1 species
GACGUAGGGCGCGAGCGUUGUCCGGAAUUACUGGGCGUAAAGCGUGCGCAGGCGGUUAUGCAAGACAGAUGUGAAAUCCCCGGGCUUAACCUGGGAACCGCAUUUGUGACUGCAUAGCUGGAGUACGGCAGAGGGGGAUGGAAUUCCGCGUGUAGCAGUGAAAUGCGUAGAUAUGCGGAGAACCACCGAUGGCGAAGGCAGUCCCCUGGGCCUGUACUGACGCUCAUGCACGAAAGCGUGGGGAGCAAACAGG